rnacentral:tRNA from 1 species
GUCUUUUUAGCGCAAUGGGCACCGCGUUGAACUUCUGAUCCAAGGGUCGUGGGUUCGAAUCCCACCUAGGAUG